CGGGGUGAGUAACGCGUGGGUAACCUGCCUUGUACAGGGGGAUAACAGUUGGAAACGGCUGCUAAUACCGCAUAAGCGCACAGCAUCGCAUGAUGCAGUGUGAAAAACUCCGGUGGUAUAAGAUGGACCCGCGUUGGAUUAGCUAGUUGGUGAGGUAACGGCCCACCAAGGCGACGACCCAUAGCCGACCUGAGAGGGCGACCGGCCACAUUGGGACUGAGACACGGCCCAA
rnacentral:rRNA from 1 species